GGGUAGGCCGCGUGUGGGCUCUGGGAGACUGAGAAGGACCCAGUGUCUGGGGUACUUCACUGUGCUGGGUGGCUGAGGAGCAAUGAAAUCAAGCGGCCAGGGCCCAAGGAGAGGGUAGCUCCAGGGGCUGCUGAGGGAACCGGGAGGAAGGGCUGAGAGAUGGGGUCAGAGCAGAUGGUCACCAGGCCGCACGGAGCCCCGGCGGAGACCCUCUGCCGCUGCCUGGCAGCACAUUCAGGCUCAGAGCCCGAGUGGAAGAAGGAAUGUGGGUGCACUCAGCACAGGCUCAUCGAUUUGGGGGUGGUUGGGGUGCCUCCAACACUCUGAUCCAAAUGGCCUCACCUCAGGGAGGGGACAUAGCUGUGCCUUCAGCAUCCGAUGGGCGUUUCCAGCCUGUCUGGGUGGCCCAGGGGCUGGAGAGUUUGACAGGUUCUCUGGGGAUGGAUUGCUUUUGGUUUCUCAGAGGCAGGACUCUGGACAGGAAAUGUCUCUCUUGAAUCUUGGCCUCGCAAUUGCCAAGCCCCGCCCCCCCCCACCCAGGUCACUGUCAUGCGGCAAAGGGGCUGAUGGUCAUGAAUGGAGCACUAACAGUGGUGCUGGUUCCUCUGGGUGACUGUGCAAAUCGCUAGGUUUUGUGCUUCAAGACCCCUCCCCCAAACUCCCUCCUCUCUUUCCUUUGGGGCCUCGUUUUCCUGUCCCCAAGCCCUGUUUCAGGGAGGAGACUUAAAGGUGGUUCUCGGGAAUUAAAGUAGGGUAAUUGAUUGAAAGGAUGCUCUCAUGACACAUGUGGGUGGAGAAAACAGAGGGUUUAAGGCAUUACAUUGGGGUGGGGGGUGCGUGCUGGGAGUCUUUGAGAGAAUUUACCCCUCUCUCUGGUACUUCACUUGGCUUAGAAGGUCAGGAGGAAUUCCAUCAAGCUGGCAGCUGCCCAAGGCCAGUAUGGUCCUGGGGGGCUGCUGAGGGAAACCCGAGGAAAGGCUGAGAGUCAGUGGUAGAGGAGACGGCCUCCGGGAGGGGCCAGAGCACAGACAAAGCCCAUCUGAAGCCCCCUGGCUGCACCUCCAGGCUACGAGGUGGUGCCAAGAGGGGUUAGUGGGAGCCCCAGGAUGUGUUAAGAUGGCUCACAGGGCACCACUGACUUUCUGGCACAAAUUGACCCACGUCAGGGAGGUCAGGGAGCAGAAAGAUGUGUGCUUUCUGCAUCUGAUGGGUGGUUCCAUCCGGCUCUGGCUGCCCAGGGGCCAGAGAGGUGGACGUGUUCUCUGGGGUUGGUUUGCUCUUUGUUUCUCAGGGGGCAGGGACACUGGACCCACAAUAUCUGUCUUGAAUCUUGGCCUUGAAACUACGAAGCCUGCAGCUUCUAUAAAGUCAUCACGUGUCCAAAGGGGCUGGUGGUCAUGAAUGGAGCUUAUGAAAGCGGUGCUAUUUUGAGGGGCAGACAGGAAUCCCUGUGCUUUAUCUUUCAGGAGUUCUCCCCAAAUUCUUUCUUCCCCUUCCACCUGAACCUCUAUGUCCUGUCUGCAAUCGCGGUUUCAAGGAGCAGAACUAAGGGAAGGGCCUGAGAGGGAAGGCAGCUGGGACUGAUUUAAAGAAGGCUCUCGGUACCCAAUGCGCACAGAAACACGCUACGGGCUGGGGUGUGACAAUCUCUGAGCCGGAACUCACCCCACACCCUGAAAUCAACAACCCCACUUUGUGUCUGGCAGAGGAAGAAGAGGCUCAGGUGGGAGGGAAGAAAAAGCUUGAAGAAAUAGAACAGUUAUGAGCUCAGCAUGUCCCCCCAAGACCCCUGGUUUGACACAGUGCAUUCACUACCCGAAGGCCAGCUUUCUAGAGCUCAACUCCAUGUGGAACAGACCGGUUGUGGCAAACUGCAUGGCCAGAAAAUAAUCCAUGUAUUUCUGGGUCCAGAGUUGAGCCUCCAAACAAAGGGGACAGUUUGUCAACUCUCUAGCCACUGGGCCAACUGGCCUUUCAGGAAUUGAACCAUAGAUGUGAUGUAAGAAUUAUUUCCCCUCCCUCAGAGGAGGAAAAUUUGGCCAGAGAGUCCGAGGUACCACAUACCAAAACAGAAGGCUCUGGGAUGCUAAAAACCCAUCUCCAACCUUGCCUCUCAGCCUGAAGAUGAAGUCUGGGAGCUGCAGGGAGGGGCGCCAAUGGUGCUCUGCCGCCAUCUGGUGGCCAUGUGCUCUAACAGCAACUCCCAGCCCUUCCUGUCUCCCACAGCAGAACCCUGGUCUGCAGUGGCCUGGGGACCUUAGCAGUACUGGGGUGUAUUGCGUGCAGAUCAGUACCCACAGCAAGCACACAAGUUUUUCAGUUGUUUCCUGGGCACCAGGGACUCUCUGCUCCCUGAUUCCUCAUGUCAGGCAGAGGACACGUGUCCUUUCAGGAUUUUGAGAUGGAUUCACAACCUGGUUGGGUGGCAGUGUGUUUAGAAUGCUUGAAGGAUUCACUGGGUUUCACAGUGCCUUGUGUUCCUCCAGAGGCAGGGGCUGAGACCCACGGAGCAUUUGUGUGUAUUGUGAACUGACCAGUGUCAAGCCCCUGACCAUCAGUGUUUUAGGCAGGUGGAGAAAGAGGCUGGUGCUAAUGAAUGCAUGGGGGACUUUAGUGGCAUUAUUUGGGGCGGCUGUGCUAAUACCUGUGCAUUUUUGGCUCAAGAGUCCUAGUGAAAUUUCCUUCUUGCCUUUCUAGAUGAGCCUGACUUCUCAGUGUGG